AUUGAACGCUGGCGGCAGGCCUAACACAUGCAAGUCGAACGGUAACAGGAAGAAGCUUGCUUCUUUGCUGACGAGUGGCGGACGGGUGAGUAAUGUCUGGGAAACUGCCUGGUGGAGGGGGAUAACUACUGGAAACGGUAGCUAAUACCGCAUAACGUCGCAAGACCAAAGAGGGGGACCUUCGGGCCUCUUGCCAUCGGAUGUGCCCAGAUGGGAUUAGCUAGUAGGUGGGGUAACGGCUCACCUAGGCGACGAUCCCUAGCUGGUCUGAGAGGAUGACCAGCCACACUGGAACUGAGACACGGUCCAGACUCCUACGGGAGGCAGCAGUGGGGAAUAUUGCACAAUGGGCGCAAGCCUGAUGCAGCCAUGCCGCGUGUAUGAAGAAGGCCUUCGGGUUGUAAAGUACUUUCAGCGGGGAGGAAGGGAGUAAAGUUAAUACCUUUACUCAUUGACGUUACCCGCAGAAGAAGCACCGGCUAACACCGUG
rnacentral:rRNA from 1 species